CCGUAUCCCGCCGGAUACGGUCCCCGUUCGCCCCAGGGCGUCCGGGGCUAAAAGGGAAGCCGGUGAACCGUUCGCCUCGCCACGAGGAUGACGGCGAAGCCGGCGCUGCCCCCGCAACUGUGAGCGGAGAGCGGGUCCGCCGUUUCAGCGCCACUGGUGCCCAUCCCGGUUCGGGACGAUGGCUCCGGGAAGGCCGGACGGUCCCGCGACGACCCGUGAGCCAGGAGACCUGCCGGAUCCGUCGAACGCGA
rnacentral:ncRNA from 2 species